GCACCCGUAGCUCAAUGGAUAGAGUCCCUGGCUUCGAACCAGGUUGUUGGGAGUUCGAGUCUCUCCGGGUGUGCCA
rnacentral:tRNA from 1 species